UUAUAGUGUGAGCGCUCUCUUAUGAAAACUAAGCACCAUUUGAUUUUGACGAACGAAGUAGGAAUAGCAAGAUUUACCAUUUGAUAUUUAGUUCUAUUAUUUCUAACAUGAGAUUUGGUGUGUGUAUAUGUAUAUAUAUAUAUGUAUGUCUCUUUUUAAUUAUAAGUAAAAUUUUUCGAUUCACUAUUCGAUUCUACGAUUCACGAUUUUACGACCCUUGACCGAUUCUAGGUAGAAUUGCGAUUCUGACAACUUUGAUCCCACCCUUUCUCUCUCUUUUUUUCCCUAGCGCUGCUCAAGGGAAACCCUAACCUUAUUUCCCUUCACCUGCGCGUCCAGUCACAGCCGAUCCAUCCAGCCUCAUCCUUCCUCCACCAUAAAGCUGAUCGUCCCCUUAUCUCUCGGGUGGCAUUCGCCUCUACAAUGGCUUUUUGCUUCUCCCUAUCCUUUUUCUCUCUUGGCGUCUCGGUAAUAGUGUUGAUGGCAGAGGCAAUUCCCUUCCUCCCAGUGGCCGUUGUGAGGUCCUCCCUCACUUUCUCGACUAGUGAUGUUAGAUCUAUGGUGGGGCUGGUGGUGAUGACGUCCGGUGGUGGCAAUGACCCUAUCCCUCUUCCUCUUCCUCUCCAGCGUGGUGUGUGUGGCAGUGGCUUCCCUCUCCCUUCCGGUGGUCACGCCGUUUUCUUCUCCAGCGAUCUAAGCUAUGGUGGUGAUAUGGCAAAAUAUCCGGCCGCUCCGACGAAGCAGGGGCGCUCUCCUCUUCACCCUUUCCGUGCUUCCAACUUUCCCUUCCUCCUUUUUCAAUGGCGGCUUCCUGCCUGCGACUCUCUGUUGUCCUUCCUAAGCAGCAUUAUCCUCUGUCGUCCACCACAAAGAGUGUGCCUUCUUGUUAGACUGGAGCCCCUAUCAUGCCUCCUACCGCCUUAAUCGAGCUUUUGUCAAACCGGCCUUUUUUUGUCUCGAAAGGGCUAGUCUCGACUCCCUUGAUUGAUGAUCGCUAGUUUGAACCGAUCGAGUCGGCCUUGUUAAAGACCCUCGAUUUGACUGCCUUGGGAUUGAGUUGUUUAAGAGAUGGUGUGCGGCUAGACUGGUUGGCUUCAUGAUUCCUUCCCCGGCUCUAUCAAAUUGGAUGGUUACUUGGUGUCUUCAUCGGCCUGGGCUUUCUAAUCUAAUCUGUUGGCCCAACUCUGUAAAGGGUUCCUGUCGGGCGAGUAUGACUUAAGGCGUCUCCUGUUUUGCUUUGAUGUCAAUUUUUCUUUGGAAUGUCGGCACCAGAAGAUUGAGAUUUACAUGGAUUAAAUGGCUUGAGGACCCUUUAUCUUGGUUUUCACCGGGAUCCAUGUGGGACAAUGGUUUUAAAACUAGGUUUGUAAAGGCCGUAACGGCCAUUAUGUAAUGGUAUCGGCCGGGUUCGAUACUGUUACAGGCCGAUAUAUUGGGGAGAAAUAGUUUCAUGUAAAUAUCGUCCAUAACGGCAUUACUAUGGCCGUAACGGCCUAUACAACCGUUAAGUGUUUAUUUUUAGCCGAUCUUUAACUUUCUAUGGCAGGGCAAUGGGAGAAAAUGUGCAAUUAUUGCAAAUGGAGUGAAGAAAGAUGACCCAUGAAAUUAAAUGAAAAAGAUAGAUGUAUAGAUUUUUUCUUUUGAAUAAGUGAAAGAUGCAUACAUUGUAGAUAUAUAAUAGAUGUACUUCAAAUAUUUUUUAAGAAAAAAUAAAUAAGUUGAUAGAUGUAACAAAAAGUUGAUGGAUAGGUUGAAAAGAAGAACGGCAAUGUUCUACUUGAGUCUAGACAAAUGCCUUCGGAUUAGAAAAAUUGAAGUACCCUUUGACAUGUCCACUCCCUGAAUAAAGAAGGAACCCAUUAGCCCUUGGGGUCAAACUUUAAUUAUUUUAUGAGAGGAAAAACAAAUAAGAUAUUGGAUGUGACAAAAAGAUGAUAGAUGAGACUAGUCAAAUGUACUUAUACAGUACUCGUAAGAAAAUUUUGUAUAUUUAUGCAAUCUGACACACAUAUAUACGUAUAUUUUAUUUGUACAAGUUGAUAUGUCUAUAGUUGAAAUAACUGUACUCUACAAAGUAGUAGAUAUAUUCUCUAUAAAAGUAAAUUGCAUGCAGAUAUUCCCUGUAAAAUUGAGUUCCCAUGUAAAAGAAAGUAAAGUUCUUCUGACUCAUAAAGAAAAGUUAGUAAAUAACAAGAAGAAGAGGAAGGGUGACACUGUAUAAUGAUCUCAAGUCACUCAUUAUUCAAACAUCAUAACUUUAGUGUCUUCUUUUAGCCUUUCCUCCAAAAACGAAACUGAAGUUGGUGAAACUUUACUGAAAAGCAGAAGCUGUUGAAGAACACUUCAUUCAUCUUCAGGGUUUUAAAACUAGAGGAGAUCAUAAGGUAAAUUAUAUUGUUUAAGUAUUAUUCUUUUUAUUUCCUUUAUUUAAGAACAUCUGCAUUAUAUAUAUAUAUAUAUAUGUACAUAUUUCUUGAUUAAUUGUUUGAAGGUUCUUUGGUUUCGUAAGAAAACUAGGAACGGAAAUUUAACUUUAUACAGUUUGACCCUUAAUUGUUUACAUAUACAUAUACAUACAUAUAUACAUACAUAUAUAUAUAUAUAUAUAUAUAUGAAUUGCUCCAAUGAAUGUACAUGCAUAUAUACACCUACUACAUGAAAACUCGUGUUUUGACCCGACUGAGAGGAAUCAUACUUGGAUUUCUACUCCAACAGCAAUCGUUUUGACAUGAACAAAAUUGUAUUAGUUCUCUAAUUAAUUUCUGUUUUAUUGCAGGUGAAAAUGUCACGGGAAAAACCUAUACAAGGGAAUCCUAAUAGUGGCGACAUGGAAUGGAAAUUCGCCAAGCUUGUUGAUGGAAAAAGAAACAUUGCUAAAUGCAAAUUCUGCGAUAGGGUGCUACUAGUGGAAUCACUCAGGUGAAAGAGCACAUAGCUCAUAAAACUGGAAACGUCGCCCCAUGUCCUCAAGUUUCAAAGGAAGCGAGGGAGAAAAUGAUGAAGCUUUUGACGCAAAAGAAUGAUAAAAAGGUCGACAAGCAGAAAAGAAAUGAAGAGUUUAUGGAAAAUUUACGAGGUGACGAAGAUGAUUAGGAAGGAUUUGCUAAGGACAGGGCGAUGAGACAUGCGAUGAAAGAGAGUAUAAGAUCUUAUCAACAGUGGGAAGAUAUGCAGAGAGUUAAAGCACAAACGGGUGCAUUUCGCAACACCUUUGAUAUUGGAGGUUCUUUUGUUUCGACUUCCAGUGGAAGAUUAGGGAGGCGCUCUCGAAGUGUUUGAGAAUCUGCUGGCAAUGGACGACAGUGGAUUGAUCCCCAGUCAGCCGAAGCUCAACUCAGGACGAUGGAUCCUCAUUACCAUCGACAUAUGGGUGCCAAGCAGCCCAAAAUAUGGACCAAGUUUCUCAAAGAAUUGGGGCAAAAGUUGGGAAAAGCAGUGAGCAAUUUUUUAUUUGCAAAUAAUAUUGCGCCAAAUGUAUGCUAUGAUGUGAAUAUGUAGGUUAUGCUCGAUGUUGCUGCUGAGGUCGGGAAAGGGAUAUGGAAAGAAAGGGGUGUUUUGAUCAUGAUGGACAGCUGGACGGAUGGUAUAUCUCACACACACAUAAUCAAAUUUCUUGUCUACUACUGCAAAGGUACGAUUUUUUACAAGUCCGAAGAUGCAAUUGGAGUAACAAGUAGAGACGGGCAUUAUUAUUUCCAGUUGAUGGAUAAAAUAGUGGAUGAGAUUGGCGAGGAGUAUGUUGUCCAUAUCUUAACUAAUAAUGAAGCAGCCAUGAAAGCUGCUGGAAAAUUGUUGAUGUCUACAAGGAAGCAUUAUAUUGGACAGCUUGCAUGGCAUAUUGUUUGGAUCUUAUCUUGGAAGAUAUAUAGAAGAAGAGUAGUGUGAAAAGAAAAUUACUUCUUUCAUAUACAACCAUGGGUGGGGGGUCAGUUAUAUCAAGAAGUUUACAAAUGGAAAGCACUUGAUUCGUCCAAUAAUAACACGCUUCGCUACCAACUUUCUUCAGAUCAAAUGCCUUGUUGAGCAGAGAAAUAAUUUGUAGACAAUGUUUGUUUCUGACGGAUGGGUAAGAUCCAAAUUUGGGAAGGAGGUUUCAGGGCCAGCUGUUAAGGCUGAAGAUGUUGUCGUGAGCUCUUUGUUUUGGAGGAAAGCGAAAUAAUUGCUUGUGGUACUUACACCGCUUCUAAGCGUACUCAAGCUGGCGAUCUCUGGUGAGCCUACAAUGGGGUAUGUUUAUGAAGUUCUUGAUGAGCCAAACUGGUGAUCGGGAAAGACUGUCGAUAUUAGAAGCGAUAUUGGGACAUAAUUGAUGAUCGGUGGAAAUUCUAAUUACAUUAAGAUUUACAUUUUGCGGGUACAUUUGUUAUUAAUUAUGUUCUUUAGAUAUUUCUAAAAUUAAUCAAGUAAAAAUUAGUAUUUC